CCUACGGGGGGCUGCAGUAAGGAAUAUUGGUCAAUGGACGAAAGUCUGAACCAGCCAUGCCGCGUGGAGGAUGAAGGUCCUCUGGAUUGUAAACUUCUUUUAUAUGGGACGAAAAAAGUCCUUUCUAGGCCGUCUGACGGUACCAUAUGAAUAAGCACCGGCUAACUCCGUGCCAGCAGCCGCGGUAAUACGGAGGGUGCCAGCGUUAUCCGGAUUAACUGGGUUUAAAGGGUGCGUAGGAGGGAGUGGUGAAAUCUUCGAGCUUAACGUGGAAACUGCCAUUGAUACUAUUAAUCUUGAAUAUUGUGGAGGUUAGCGGAAUGUGUCAUGUAGCGGUGAAAUGCUUAGAUAUGACAUAGAACACCAAUUGCGAAGGCAGCUGGCUACACAUAUAUUGACACUGAGGCACGAAAGCGUGGGUAUCAAACAGGAUUAGAUACCCCUGUAGUC
rnacentral:rRNA from 1 species